AGCCCGGUGACUAGGUGCUGCAUUGGGCUGUCGUCAGCUCGUGUCGUGAGAUGUUGGGUUAAGUCCCGCUAACGAGCGCAACCCUUGUCAUUAGUUGCCAUCAUUUAGUUGGGCACUCUAAUGAGACUGCCGGUGACAAACCGGAGGAAGGUGGGGGAUGACGUCAAGUCCUCAUGGCCCUUAUGGGUAGGGCUUCACACGUCAUACAAUGGUCGGUACAGAGGGUUGCCAAGCCGCGAGGUGGAGCCAAUCCCUUAAAGCCGAUCGUAGUCCGGAUCGUAGUCUGCAACUCGACUACGUGAAGUCGGAAUCGCUAGUAAUCGCAGAUCAGCAUGCUGCGGUGAAUACGUUCCCGGGUCUU
rnacentral:rRNA from 1 species